rnacentral:rRNA from 1 species
CCUACGGGAGGCAGCAGUAAGGAAUAUUGGUCAAUGGGCGGAAGCCUGAACCAGCCAUGCCGCGUGCAGGAAGACGGCCCUACGGGUUGUAAACUGCUUUUAUACGGGAAUAAACCCAGAUACGUGUAUCUGGCUGAAUGUACUGUAAGAAUAAGGAUCGGCUAACUCCGUGCCAGCAGCCGCGGUAAU